AGUGAACGCUGGCGGUAGGCCUAACACAUGCAAGUCGAACGGCAGCACAGUAAGAGCUUGCUCUUAUGGGUGGCGAGUGGCGGACGGGUGAGGAAUACAUCGGAAUCUACUUUUUCGUGGGGGAUAACGUAGGGAAACUUACGCUAAUACCGCAUACGACCUACGGGUGAAAGCAGGGGAUCUUCGGACCUUGCGCGAUUGAAUGAGCCGAUGUCGGAUUAGCUAGUUGGCGGGGUAAAGGCCCACCAAGGCGACGAUCCGUAGCUGGUCUGAGAGGAUGAUCAGGCACACUGGAACUGAGACACGGUCCAGACUCCUACGGGAGGCAGCAGUGGGGAAUGUUGGACAAUGGGCGCAAGCCUGAUCCAGCCGUACCGCGUGGGUGAAGAAGGCCUUCGGGUUGUAAAGCCCUUUUGUUGGGAAAGAAAAGCAGCAGGUUAAUACCCCGCUGUUCUGACGGUACCCGAAGAAUAAGCACCGGCUAACUUCGUG
rnacentral:rRNA from 1 species